UACAGAGGUCUCAAGCGUUGUUCGGAUUCAUUGGGCGUAAAAGGUGCGUAGGCGGCGCGGUAAGUCGGGUGUGAAAUCUCGGAGCUUAACUCCGAAACUGCAUUCGAUACUGCCGUGCUUGAGGACUGGAGAGGAGACUGGAAUUUACGGUGGAGCGGUGAAAUGCGUAGAUAUCUGGAGGAACACCGGUGGCGAAAGCGGCUCACUGGAUCGAUACUGACGCUGAGGUGCGAAAGCUAGGGUAGCAAACGGG
rnacentral:rRNA from 1 species